rnacentral:rRNA from 1 species
GAUGAACGCUGGCGGCGUGCCUAAUACAUGCAAGUCGAGCGAACAGACGAGAGUGCUUGCACUCUCUGACGUUAGCGGCGGACGGGUGAGUAACACGUGGGUAACCUACCUAUAAGACUGGGAUAACUUCGGGAAACCGGAGCUAAUACCGGAUAAUAUUUAGCUUCGCAUGAAGCAAUAGUGAAAGACGGUUCUGCUGUCACUUAUAGAUGGACCCGCGGUGUAUUAGCUGGUUGGUGAGGUAACGGCUCACCAAGGCAACGAUACAUAGCCGACCUGAGAGGGUGAUCGGCCACACUGGGACUGCGACACGGCCCAGACUCCUACGGGAGGCAGCAGUAGGGAAUCUUCCGCAACGGACGAAAGUCUGACGGAGCAAUGCCGCGUGAGUGAAGAAGGUUUUCGGAUCGUAAAACUCUGUUGUAAGGGAAGAACAAGUACGUUAGUAACUGAACGUACCUUGACGGUACCUUACCAGAAAGCCACGGCUAACUACGUG